rnacentral:rRNA from 1 species
ACCUCGAUCUGAAGCUGUUGGUGUUUUGGGUCGGGGUAAAGGUGAAUAGAGAUUGUUGGGGGCAUUCGUAUUUAACUGUCAGAGGUGAAAUUCUUGGAUUUGUUGAAGACGGACUACUGCGAAAGCAUCUGCCAAAGAUGUUCUCAUUGAUCAAGAACGAAAGUUAGGUGAUCGAAGACGAUCAGAUACCGUCCUAGUCUUAACCAUAAACUAUGCCACCUGGAGAUAGGGGGUCGUUAUUUGUUGACACCUUCUGCAUCCUGAGAGAAAUCAAAGUCUUUGGGUUCCGGGGGGAGUAUGGUCGCAAGGCUGAAACCUAAAGGAAUUGACGGAAGGGCACCACCAGGAGUGGAGCCUGCGGCUUAAUUUGACUCAACACGGGGAAACUCACCAGGUCCGGACAUAGUAAGGAUUGACAGAUUGACAAGCUCUUUCU